CGUCUCUGCCCUGCCACUGUGAACAUUGCUCACGGGCACGAGUUCACAGGGUCACAACGACGAGUUCAAGGGCUCAUAGCCUUUGCUUUGCUCUGCCUCUCUUUCGGUUCUUGUUCUCCUCCAUUAGUUGUUGCUCAUUCUUCUCUUCCGUCAAACUCGUGGCAUUUUCCUUAGAACAAGAGUUGAG